rnacentral:rRNA from 1 species
AUUGAACGCUGGCGGCAUGAUUUACACAUGCAAGUCGAACGGUAACAGGCCGCAUGGUGCUGACGAGCGGCGAACGGGUGGGUAAUUCAUCCGAACGUGCCCAGCCGUGGGGGAUAACUACCCGAGAGAGUAGCUAAUACCUCAUACGAUCUAUGUAUGAAAGCAGGGGACCGUACGUCCUCGCUCGCUUGGAGCGGCCGAUCGCUGACUGAUUAGCUAGUUGGUGGGGUAAAGGCCAACCAAGGCAACGAUCGGUAGCUGGUCUGAGAGGACGACCAGCCACACUGGGACUGAGACACGGCCCAGACUCCUACGGGAGGCAGCAGUGGGGAAUUUUGGACAAUGGGCGAAAGCCUGAUCCAGCAAUGCCGCGUGUAGGAAGAAGGCCUUCGGGUUGUAAACUGCUUUUGUCCGGAACGAAACCGUUCUGGUUAAUACCGGGGGCUAAUGACGGUACCGGAAGAAUAAGCACCGGCUAACUACGUG